rnacentral:misc_RNA from 1 species
AACGCACAUUGCACCUUGAAGUAUUCUUCUAGGUAUACCUGUUUGAGCGUCGUUUAAAACUAUAAAGCUUUGCUUUUUAUUAGAUUUUGGGUUAGAAUUAGAUUUUUACCCAAUUUCUUAAACAUAGUGGCGUUGAUUUGUUAGCCAAUACACAGUGAAAAUGUGUAAAAAGUAAAUAAAGUCAACUUUGCCAGUACUUGAGUGUAAACUCAGUGUUUCGACCUCAAAUCAAGUAAGACUACCCGCUGAACUUAA